AGUUUAGCCUCUAAUAUGGUGUCAAGAGUGGAAAAUAUUCAAAAGAAAAAGGAUCAGGCCCAUAGUCUAAAAGGAGUGCUCCAAGACUCCAUCGUGAUGCUUGAACAGUUAAAGAGCUCACUCAUUAUGCUUCAGAGAACUUUUGAUCUACUAAAUAAGAACAAGACUGGCAUGACUGUCGAAAGCUAGUGAUCUCAAGGUCUGAAAAUGUAGAGACACUUGGAACUAAAAGAAAACAUCUUAAAGAAAACCAGAGGAUGAAGGAUUUUAAUUGUCACAGGGACAUUUCCACAUUUUCUCAUUAUUGGUACUUCUAAUAUGAACAUUCUUUUUAAUAACAUUAAUUUGAUAACUAGUUUCUGAUGGCCUUACAAUCCAUUCUUUCACUUCUUAUACAUAAUUCUAAGCAGUGAAUUUCUCUAGUGAAGCAUGAAAUAUGUUGUGGAUUUGAAUUUCUGAUACAAAAAGAAAAUGAGACACUCUGAACUGAUUUUUACAGUGAGGUUUGAAGUUUGAUGCUUUAUCUGUUAGCACAGAAUCAGUAGGUGUCCCAUAGGCUGCCUUCCCAGUUGAGAUACAUUCAAGAGGCUAAAGAAGACAAUAGAAGAAUAAACCUCUUUAUCAUUACUACUUUUGAAGGACCAAUUUUCAGGCAUAUAACAUUUCUAAGUUUGUGUACUGUAAAUAUUACAAUUUCUUCACUUAUUUAGCAUGCAAAUUCAAUAGUCCAACCUUUUGAGUCUGCAAGUUGGUAAUUAUUAUCUGAAACGUUCUUGAGCCAUGUUGUAUUUUUCUGAAGAAAUGGUUGUUUCUUCUUCAGGUAGCUAUCAGAGGUGAGAUUAUCUUGCCCCUUCAUGUAUCAAAUGACAGAAGAGUCAGUUCUGGAAAAGGAAACAUAGGAUACCAACACUCAAAAUGAAGAACCAUGCUCUGAUUUUAAGAACCAGAGGAUUAUGUUAAAAUCUGGGCAUUUAGUGACAGAUCAGAUGAAUACUUGAACUAAGCUUGGCUUCAGCUUAGCACUCUUUUAUGGUGGAAGUGAAACACCUGGUUGAAAAUAAUUUGUGGAUUACUUUUCAGUAGCUACAUAUGUCUUCAUUUAUUCAUUCAUGUGGGUGCGGCUUGUUUCAGCUGGUAAGUUAUAACCAGACACAAACUUUCGCUCUUCAAUAAAAACUUUUGGGGGCACUAUGUCCCAAUACUAGGGCACUGACUGAAGUUUGAAAUCAGACAGAAGCUUUGGCUCUUUCAUGAAAAGUUUUUAGGCAUAUAUGUCUCAAUACAAGUGAUGUCUUUGGAACAAGAGAGAGACAGUGCUUAAUAAUUGGUAUAUAUUCUUACUGUUUGGACAAUGCUUGCCUUUAGUUAAAUGUUUCUUUCUUUCCCCAGAGCCACAGGAGAUAGCUAAAGUCAUUUUUGAGAAUAAGUACAGGGAAAAUGGAUUUCUCUGGGUGAUUCCCAACAAACCUACCUUGGGGGUACCAGUGUACUUACCUGGGGGUUUUUUGAUUUAUGAAGUGUGGCUGUGAGUGAGUCACUGGAUUAUAAACUUGAAGACUUUGUUCUCUGUUAAAUUCACAAAAAAGAUCAGUGGCAAACAAUAUUUUUGUGGUGUUUCUGUAAAACUUGUACUUCAUAAAUAUACCUCAAAGAAAAUUACCAAAGUUGCUUUAUAGAUUAAGACUAAACAUGUAUGUAUGCAGAACUUAAUUAAUUGCAUUUGAGCCCGUUACGUAAAUUGAAUAUCAAUAAAACCCAAAAUGUCUUGA